rnacentral:piRNA from 1 species
GACAUGGUAUGAGGUACUGGCCUCUGAGA